AAAUUGCCGACGAUAAUGGUGUUACUCCAUUUUACACCCGCAUUUCAUGUGAAUUUUCCGUUUAAUUAUUACCGUAAAGCCCGGCGCGUACGUAUAACGUUAAAAUCACGCAUGAUAAAACAAGAGCAUUUUAUGAAACUAUUACAAUAUUAGAUAUAUAUUCGCGCGAGAUUUACAAACUAUAAACAUUACGUAAUUUUAUAGGAUAAAUUUGAUGAGAUAUUGGAAGAAAAUUAAAGGCAAGUCCGUUGCAGAUUUUACGAGCUAAAAGCUGCUGAUAGUGCAACUCAAAAGCAGCAUCCACAAACCUUCAGGAAUCCAAGAGAAAAUUUAAAUAUUCAGCAAAAGAGAAAAUGCGGAUCUAGUCAUGUUGAGAUAUAAAGUUAAAAUUCUCAAUUCGUAAAGACACUCAGAAUCAUCGAAUUCAAGAGUUUGGAAACCAAACGCACGCACAGCAAGAAUCUUAUGCAACUUUGACUCAUAGAAUAAAAAUAUAACUUUGAAUCAUAAAUAAAAAUAUAUACAAAAGAUAUAAAUUCUCCGUUGCGCUAUUUAGUUAUUAUAUUUUAGCCAAUUUACAUAAAUUAAACAUUGUAAUUAUUAUUAUAACUUCCAUCCUCUUAUAUUACGAUGCAAUGUAAAAUUAGAUC